GUAGGUGAACCUGCGGAAGGAUCAUUAGAAAUUUUUUGUAUUCAAAAAUUUUAAAUCUUUUAAUACGAAAAAAUGUAAAUAUAUUAUGAGACAACUUUCAACAACGGAUCUCUUGGCUCUU
rnacentral:misc_RNA from 1 species